UGGGGGAUCUUGCGCUAAUGCGCGAAAGCGUGACGCAGCGACGCCGCGUGGGGGAUGAAGGCCCUCGGGUUGUAAACCCCUUUCGGCAGGGACGAAGCGAAAGUGACGGUACCUGCAGAAGAAGUCCCGGCUAACUACGUGCCAGCAGCCGCGGUAACACGUAGGGGACGAGCGUUGUCCGGAUUCAUUGGGCGUAAAGCGCGCGUAGGCGGCUCGGAAAGUCGGUCGUGAAAGGCUGGGGCUCAACCCCAGGACUGCGUCCGAUACUUCCGGGCUGGAGGUAGGUAGGGGAGAUCGGAAUUCCUGGUGUAGCGGUGAAAUGCGCAGAUAUCAGGAGGAACACCGGUGGCGAAGGCGGAUCUCUGGGCCUUACCUGACGCUGAGGCGCGAAAGCUAGGGGAGCGAACAGGAUUAGAUACCCUGGUAGUCCUAGCCGCAAACGUUGGGUGCUAGGUGUGGGCGGACAUCGACCCCGUCCGUGCCGAAGCUAACGCAUUAAGCACCCGCCU
rnacentral:rRNA from 1 species